GAUGGUUUACUUCACGGAAAAAGCUGCCCUCUCCUGGAUUAAGAGCAGUCCCUCAGGCGGUACCCUGCUCCUUGUCAUAUGGACCUGCUCUUCCUCAGAACAGGCUGCUUUGGGUGAUGACCACCCCGUCCUCUUGUUCCGUGAGGUCCUCGCAUUGUCAGGCAACAACCAGAUAAGUAUAGCCCUAUACCAACCACUAGCAAGGCCAUGUCUGAAAGCAACAGGAAACUAGUGGCUGCUCCAUGUUCUUCUCCCUCACUGGCCCCCAAGUGUGCUAGAAUUAGUUCACAAGGCCAAACAGGGUCCUGAAGUACAAGUUUGCCCUUUAAAUUUUCAAUGGGGAAUUGCUGUUUAGACCUGUGCUGCUUAGCUGGUGUGCACAUUUCCUUUUGGAGUUUUCUGUGGUUAUUU